UGAGGAAUCUUGCGCAAUGGGGGAAACCCUGACGCAGCAACGCCGCGUGAGUGAGGAAGGCCCUCGGGUCGUAAAGCUCUGUCAGGUGGGAAGAAAUCGAUGAAGGUGAACAACCUCCAUCCUUGACGGUACCACCAGAGGAAGCACCGGCUAACUCCGUGCCAGCAGCCGCGGUAACACGGGGGGUGCAAGCGUUGUUCGGAAUCAUUGGGCGUAAAGAGCGUGUAGGCGGCCAGGCAAGUCAGAUGUGAAAGCCCUGGGCUUAACCCAGGAAGUGCAUUUGAAACUGCUUGGCUAGAGUAAGGGAGAGGAAAGUGGAAUUCCUGGUGUAGAGGUGAAAUUCGUAGAUAUCAGGAGGAACACCGGUGGCGAAGGCGACUUUCUGGCCCUAUACUGACGCUCAGGCGCGAAAGCGUGGGGAGCAAACAGG
rnacentral:rRNA from 1 species